rnacentral:rRNA from 1 species
AUUGAACGCUGGCGGCAUGCUUUACACAUGCAAGUCGAACGGCAGCGCGGGCUUCGGCCUGGCGGCGAGUGGCGAACGGGUGAGUAAUACAUCGGAACGUGCCCAGUAGUGGGGGAUAGCUCGGCGAAAGCCGGAUUAAUACCGCAUACGACCUGAGGGUGAAAGCGGGGGAUCUUCGGACCUCGCGCUAUUGGAGCGGUCGAUGGCAGAUUAGCUAGUUGGUGGGGUAAAGGCCUACCAAGGCGACGAUCUGUAGCUGGUCUGAGAGGACGACCAGCCACACUGGGACUGAGACACGGCCCAGACUCCUACGGGAGGCAGCAGUGGGGAAUUUUGGACAAUGGGCGAAAGCCUGAUCCAGCAAUGCCGCGUGUGUGAUGAAGGCCUUCGGGUUGUAAAGCACUUUUGGCGGGAACGAAAAGGACUGUGCCAAUACCACGGUUCGAUGACGGUACCCACAGAAUAAGCACCGGCUAACUACGUG